GCGUUCGUAGCUCAGCUGGAUAGAGUGGCGGACUUCGAAUCCGUAGGUCGCAGGUUCGAAUCCUGCCGGACGCG
rnacentral:tRNA from 1 species